UACGUAGGGUGCAAGCGUUAAUCGGAGUUACUGGGCGUAAAGCGUGCGCAGGCGGUGAUGUAAGACAGGUGUGAAAUCCCCGGGCUUAACCUGGGAACUGCAUUUGUGACUGCAUCGCUGGAGUGCGGCAGAGGGGGAUGGAAUUCCGCGUGUAGCAGUGAAAUGCGUAGAGAUGCGGAGGAACACCGAUGGCGAAGGCAGCCCCCUGGGCUAGCACUGACGCUCAGGCACGAAAGCGUGGGGAGCGAACGGG
rnacentral:rRNA from 1 species